UACGAAGGGACCUAGCGUAGUUCGGAAUUACUGGGCUUAAAGAGUUCGUAGGUGGUUGAAAAAGUUAGUGGUGAAAUCCCAGAGCUUAACUCUGGAACUGCCAUUAAAACUUUUCAGCUAGAGUAUGAUAGAGGAAAGCAGAAUUUCUAGUGUAGAGGUGAAAUUCGUAGAUAUUAGAAAGAAUACCAAUUGCGAAGGCAGCUUUCUGGAUCAUUACUGACACUGAGGAACGAAAGCAUGGGUAGCGAAGAGGAUUAGAUACCCUCGUAGUCCAUGCCGUAAACGAUGUGUGUUAGACGUUGGAAAUUUAUUUUCAGUGUCGCAGGGAAACCGAUAAACACACCGCCUGGGGAGUACGACCGCAAGGUUAAAACUCAAAUGAAUUGACGGGGACCCGCACAAGUAGUGGAGCAUGUGGUUUAAUUCGAAGAUACGCGCAGAACCUUACCAACACUUGACAUGUUCGUCGCGACUCUAAGAGAUUAGAGUUUUCGGUUCGGCCGGACGAAACACAGGUGCUGCAUGGCUGUCGUCAGCUCGUGUCGUGAGAUGUUGGGUUAAGUCCCGCAACGAGCGCAACCCUCACUUUUAGUUGCCAUCAUUAAGUUGGGCACUCUGAGAGAACUGCCAGUGAUAAGCUGGAGGAAGGUGGGGAUGACGUCAAGUCCUCAUGGCCCUUACGUGUUGGGCUACACACGUGCUACAAUGGUAUCUACAACAGGAAGCAAGACUGCGAAGUUUAGCAAAUCCCUAAAAGAUACCUCAGUUCGGAUUGCACUCUGCAACUCGAGUGCACGAAGCUGGAAUUACUAGUAAUCGUGGAUCAGCGUGCCACGGUGAAUGCGUUCCCGGGUCU
rnacentral:rRNA from 1 species